UCCCCAGCACAUCGGAAAGUUAGCAUCUAUAGCUCCAGCCCCGGAAUCAGUGCCUAGGUAAGGAGCCACAUAUUAACCUCUGAAGAGCUACAUACAGCUCCGGAGCCACAGGUCAGCCACCCCGGGGCUAGUGUUACCCCAAAAGGCAAAAUGUAGGUAUGUCCAUUUCAGAUUCUGAAAUUUUUUCCCCUCCUCUUUCUUCCCACCCCCCACCCCCCACUUUCCAACCUGGCUUCAGCAUUUUGCCAAAAGCUUAGUGUUAAUUAUAGCCACCCUCCUUCAGAACGGGAGUUGUAUUUAUCUUUACCUUAAGGACAUCUGAUCCUUUUCCUGAGAGCAUCAGGGAUAACCUAUGUAAGUACCUUUAGAGACUAUGUAUUCUUAAUAAAAUUGGACUCAUUCAGACAUCUUUCACUGAAGUUCAUCCACUUGUCUGUGCCUGGACAGGGAGUGAGUGAGACUUUCAUUUUGGAAUACUUCUUGCACUCCAGCAUUUCCUUGCUCUGGUUUUGAACUUCACUCUGUGCCUAAGGUAGACUGUCCUUCAUUGUCUUGGCCACUUUGCAACCUGUCUGGAGUUGCUAAUGUGUCUCAGUCCUAUUUUUAAAAGUGGAUUUAGGCAUCUAGGAACCUAAAUCUCAUAGAAAAUCACUUGGGAUUAAGGAUCUUUAGGCACUCUUGACCAUUUUACCUUAAUCUUAUUUACAGUCCUGCACUUCUGUCCCCCAGGGCUUUCUUAUUGGAAGGUUAUAUUUUAGCCUGCUUUGAAGAUACUUUCUGAAAUAGUCUCCUGCAGGGUAAUACUAUCCACUGAAUGGCACAGCACAUCCUGAAUUUUCUUCCACACCCCAACCUCUCACAAUUUAUUCCUUGAGGAGGAAUCAGUUGUGAUGACCUGCCUACCUUAAGGAUUUUUGCACCACUAUAUUGACAUAAGCGGCGAAGAGUCCUGUGGCACCUUAUAGACUAACAGAUGUAUUGAAGCAUAAGCUUUCGUGGGUGAAUACCCACUUCGUCGGAUGCAUGUCGUGGAAAUUUCCAGAGGCAGGUAUAAAUAUGCAUGCAAGAAUCAGGCUACAGAUAAUGAGGUUAGUUCAAUCAGGGAGGAUGAGGCCCUCUUCUAGCAGUUGAGGUGUGAACACCAAGGGAGGAGAAACUGCUUUUGUAGUUGGCUAGCCAUUCAGUCUUUGUUUAAUCCUCAGCUGAUGGUGUCAAAUUUGCAAAUGAACUGAAGCUCAGCAGGUUUCAGAGGAACAGCCGUGUUAGUCUGUAUUCGCAAAAAGAAAAGGACUACUUGUGGCACCUUAGAGACUAACCAAUUUAUUUGAGCAUGAGCUUUCGUGAGCUACAGCUCACUUCAUCAGAUGCAUACCGUGGAAACUGCAGCAGACUUUAUAUACACACAGAGAAUAUGAAACAAUACCUCCUCCCACCCCACUGUCCUGCUGGUAAUAGCUUAUUCUCUUUGAAGUCUGGUCCUCCAAGUUUUUUUGCUGCAGGAUGGCUAUUAAAUCUUUAAAUAGCUUUAAAUCUGCUAUUGUGUGUCCAGGGAGGUUGAAGUGUUCUACAGGUUUUGUAUAUUGCCAUUCCUAAUAUCUGAUUUGUGUCCAUUUAUCCUUUUACGUAGGGACUGUCCAGUUUGGCCGAUGUACAUAACAGAGGGGCACAUGAUGGCGUAUAUUACAUUGGUGGACAUGCAGGUGAAUGAACCGGUGAUGGUGUGGCUGAUCUGGUUAGGUCCUGUGAUGGUGUCGCUGUGUAGAUAUGUGGGCAGAGUGGGCAUAGAGGUUUGUUGCAUGGAUUGGUUCCUGAGUUAGUUUCUAUGGUGCGGUGUGUAGUUGCUGGUGAGACUAUGCUUAGGGUUGGCAGGUUGUCUGUGGGCAAGGACUGGUCUGCCUCCCAAGGCCUGUGAAAGUGAGGGAUCGUUGUCCAGGAUGGGUUGUCGAUCACUGAUGAUGCGUUGGAGAGGUUUUAGCUGAGGACUGUAUGUGAUGGCCAGUGGAGUUUUCUUGGUUUCUUUCUUGGGCUUGUCUUGCAGCAGGAGGCUUCUGGGUACACGUCUGGCUCUGUUGAUCUGUUUCCUUAUUUCCUCGUGUGGGUAUCGUAGUUUUGAGAAUGCUUGGUGAAGAUCUUGUAGGUGUUGUGCAAAUCCCUGUGUAGAUGUACUGUGACUUACACCGUAUUGGUGCAACUGAAGCCCUGUCUACACUGGCAAGUUUCUGCGUAGUAAAGCAGCUUUCUGUGCAGUAACUCCCAACACUGCCAAGCCACUCAGUGCGCAGAAACUGCGCCACUGUAGCACUCUUGUUUUUAAAAAAAACAAACAAAAACUACCCUGACGAGAGGCAUAGAGCUUUCUGUGCUGGGGCUACAGCCCUGUGGUGCCAGCAUAGACACCGUGGCACUUACAGCGCUGUGGUAGGCAUUGUGGGACACCUCUAGGAAGCCAGUUCUCACCUCCUGGUCAUCCGUUUGAACUCUACUGCCUUGCCCUUACGUGACCAAUUGUCAUUCCCAGCCCAUACAUUCCUUUGCAAAUUUGAAAGUCCCCUUCCUGUUUGCUUGGUGGUCCUUGCAAUGGUCUGUGCGCAUCUUUCCAGGUGGCCAUGCCUGCUCCAUGCACCAGGCGAUCCCCCCGCUUGGAGCAAUGCCGAGCUGCUGGACCUCAUCUACAUUUGGGGAGAGGCGUCUGUGUAGUCCCAGCUGCACUCCAGCCAUAGGAAUUAUACCUACGGACAGAUUUCAUGAUGCAUGUUAGAAAGGGGCCAUGAGCGGGACACAUUGCAGUGUAGGGUCAAAGUGAAGGAGCUGCAGAAUGCCUACUACAAGGCGCGGGAGGCAAACUGAUGCUCCAGUGCUGUGCCCACGAGCUGCCAGUUCUACAAAAAGCUGUACACAAUACUCGGUGGUAACUCCACUGCGAAGGCCCCUGUGGAUACUUUGUUGGCUUGCAUGUCAGUUGAGAGUGGACCGAGCCAGGAGGAGGAAAUCCUUGGAGAAAGAGGGGACGGAGGACCCAGAGGCAGAGGAUGACUCGGAGGCCAGAGAUGCAUGCAGUCAGGAGCUCUUUUCUACCCCAGAGGAGCCUAGCCAGUCACAGCAGUCGGAUCUUGGCAAAGCGCAAACAGGAGAGGAAGACCCUAAGAUGACUUUGUGAGCCCCAGCCUCUCUCUUUGUUAUCGGCAGCAGAACAGCUGUGCAGAAUUAGAAAACGGCCAAGAAGAACUAAGGAGGACUUUCUCUAUGAGGUUAUGAUGCACUCCACUGCAGAGAAACAGGAAUUGAAGGAGUGGUGGGACAGCGAAAACAGGGAUCGAAAGGAGAACGCGGCACACCAGAAAGAAGCCAUGGAGCGGCUCUUAAACCUUAUGGAGCCACCAAGUGGACAUGCUCCAGGUGAUACUAGCUCUUCAAACCAAGCAGCUCCGUACCUGCUCUCCCUACAGCCGCUGUGGCAAAACUUUUGCCCAUGUGCCGCCCCCCCACACACACACACCCCCAACACAUUAUCAACCUCCUGGCUCCACUGUCUACCCACAGCAUUCCAAUCCUCCCUCCUCACAGUCCAGGAUUGACGACUCCCACUACUCACUGCACCAACACCCAUCCUUCUGCAGUUUGGCCCUGCUGAAGUACAGCACCUGCUGCAUUGUACUCCAAAGGAGAAGGUUGGGUGUGAUCCCUGGACAUAAACAAAUCUGUAGCUGACCCAGGACCCCUCCUUGAGACCUUCCCUUCCCCUUCCCUAUCCCCCUCCCUGCUGAUGAAUUUUUUUGUUUGAGUCUUUCCUCCAGUUGUCUUUUAAUAAAAUAAUUUUGUUUGAAAGCAAUUUCUAUUCUAUUAAGUGAAAGCAAAAAGAGCAUGCAAAGCAACAUUCAAUUAGGUUAAGGCCCCUUCUUGCAUCAUGUGCACCAAUCACCUCCUAGAAUUACAAGCACCUCAAUCCUGAGCAUAGCAACAAAUAUUCGUGGCUUUCAGCUUCAAAUUACUGCCUUAAGGCAUCCCUGAUCCUUAUGGCCUCAUGCUGUGCUCCUCUAAUAGCCCUGGUCUCUGGCUGUUCAAACUCCGCCUCUGCAGUCCAGCCCUCAGUGAAGCUUUC